rnacentral:rRNA from 1 species
CUUUCUUACACCGAAUGCUUGCAUUCACCGUAAGAAGUUGAGUGGCGGACGGGUGAGUAACACGUGGGUAACCUGCCUAAAAGAAGGGGAUAACACUUGGAAACAGGUGCUAAUACCGUAUAUCUCUAAGGAUCGCAUGAUUCUUAGAUGAAAGAUGGUUCUGCUAUCGCUUUUAGAUGGACCCGCGGCGUAUUAACUAGUUGGUGGGGUAACGGCCUACCAAGGUGAUGAUACGUAGCCGAACUGAGAGGUUGAUCGGCCACAUUGGGACUGAGACACGGCCCAAACUCCUACGGGAGGCAGCAGUAGGGAAUCUUCCACAAUGGACGCAAGUCUGAUGGAGCAACGCCGCGUGAGUGAAGAAGGUCUUCGGAUCGUAAAACUCUGUUGUUAGAGAAGAACACGAGUGAGAGUAACUGUUCAUUCGAUGACGGUAUCUAACCAGCAAGUCACGGCUAACUACGUGCCAGCAGCCGCGGUAAUACGUAGGUGGCAAGCGUUGUCCGGAUUUAUUGGGCGUAAAGGGAACGCAGGCGGUCUUUUAAGUCUGAUGUGAAAGCCUUCGGCUUAACCGGAGUAGUGCAUUGGAAACUGGAAGACUUGAGUGCAGAAGAGGAGAGUGGAACUCCAUGUGUAGCGGUGAAAUGCGUAGAUAUAUGGAAGAACACCAGUGGCGAAAGCGGCUCUCUGGUCUGUAACUGACGCUGAGGUUCGAAAGC